UACGGAGGAGGCAAGCGUUAUCCGGAAUUAUUGGGCGUAAAGCGUCCGUAGGUGGUAAUUCAAGUCUGCUGUUAAAGCGUGAGGCUUAACCUCAUAAAGGCAGUGGAAACUGAAUUGCUAGAGAACAGAAGGGGCAACGGGAAUUCCUAGUGUAGCGGUGAAAUGCGUAGAGAUUAGGAAGAACACCAGUGGCGAAAGCACGUUGCUAGGCUGAUUCUGACACUGAGGGACGAAAGCUAGGGGAGCGAAAGGG
rnacentral:rRNA from 1 species